GUAGAAAUCAAAGAAUAUAAUACUCAAAUUAUUGACGAGAAAAUUGACAGACUUUGAUAGGUUAUAUAUAAGUUACUCUAUGUUUGAUAGAAUGGAAGAUGGGUGUAAGUAGAACGUAGUGAUUAUAUGCUCUUUGGGUGUAAGAGCACAAACCUUUUUAAUGUGACAGACUUCACUUCACGCCUCGCACCUCGUCCCUCAACUUCGAAUCUAUUUGGCUGCAAAUUACAUUAUCAAUAUCAUAGAUACAGACGACAUAGAAGCAUCAUAGAAGUCAUCGAAAUCAAAGAGCACAUAAUCACUACGUUCUAUAAAUAAUAUGAUCGAAAUAUGACAAUUUGACAGGAGGGUAGAGGUACCUUUACCCUGCAUUACCCCUCUCCAUACGCAAUAGGGAAUAUUACGCGAAACUCUGCGUAGGGGGCCCCACUACCACAAUCUGAGGGUCUACCGCGAAACAAGAAAAUCGAAAUUUCGUUUUCUAAUCUAACCUCUCUAUCACUCUUGUGAAUACGAGCGAUGAAGAGGCAGAUAAGUAAAUUUCGAUUUUCGCGUUUCCUGGUAGACCCUUUGUAAACAAUCCACAAACAAACUCCCUUGAUGCACCAAUGUCAUAUUUUAUUAUCUAUGAAAACUUGUCAAAAAACCGUUUAACCCUGGAACGCCGAACCGACAAACAUACUUGUACCCGUCAAAUGCCUAGUGCCGGAUUCGUCCCAUCCCCCUCAGACGCCUGAUAGGCUCGCGUACGUGCACCCGUUGACUGCCGCGACUUAUAUUGCAUUGAAAUUUUGAUUGAAAUGCAAGUAAUAUAAAAUCUAUUUGUACCGAGACAUAAACGAUGGCACCAUGGCCUCUUACAUAGAGUGACAGAGAAAAAGUAAAUAAUGUCAAACGAUCUUGAUUUUCAUGCGGAUUAAUAUGGGACUCAUGGAUAACUCAUGGCAUUUAAUCAACACAAAGGUCAGAAAUGAGAGUUAAAGUCUGACGCCCGCACUCGACGAUUGAAAAGCCUCUAACAAAAUGAUAAAGUGAUGUGACGUCACAUUAUAUAAGUCUGUCCUAAAUGUAUGGAACAUCAAGGAAAUUUCCAUUUUGACCCUGAAAUAUUCAGUUUGUGUAUAGUUGUCAUACAAUUUAUUUUUCAAUAAAAUGUGUGAAAUCGAAUGGUACUAUUUUUUCCCAUUUUUGAAAGACAAUAAAAUAAAAUAAAAUUGAGACUUUGGA